ensembl:lncRNA
AAUGAAUAUGCUUAUAAUAGAGUACAGCAGACUUUUAUAAAUAUGUUCUGGUCAAGCUCAGGCUCUUAUUACUCAGGCACUUUAGUAACUAUAACUUGAUUAUUUAUACAAUUACACAUAUGAAUGAUUAACUAUUAAGUGAAACAGGUUUCGUGAAACAUUUAAUAUUUUCCAAUUUUAAGACAUGUGAUGGGACAUAAAUUGCCUCAGGCAAAAGCCUGUGUUAUGGUUUCUCUAUAGAAACAUUUCAAUUAUUAAUUGUUUUCUCUCAUCUUCACAAUAUAUAACAAAACAGCCAAUUUUCCCUCAAUUUCCAUUUAUUAGCUCACCUUCUGUCAUUCUGACAAUCUAGUGAACUCCAGUAUUUAGGAAUAUAUAAAGCAGUUUAUAAUAAAGACUUCUUGAUAUUUGAUAUUAAAAAUAACGUUUCUAUUUUAAUAACAGGUCUUGGGAAUUAAGAAUGGCACCCAAUGGCUUCAUGACACCACUGUGUAUUCAACAGGAAUAAGCUGUGUUGACAAGAAAGGUUAGCGCUGGAAAAGUUUCUCUUCCCACUGACAUGGAAAAGUGGGAUAGAUCUCGGAGAAGCGUUGACGUUCCCAUCCAGAAGAAUUCCAGCACCCCCUAAUGUCACAAUGGAGUUACUGAAGUACUCAACUCACAACAGCACAACAGUUUAAAAGCAAAAAAACAGCCAAGAGGCAAAAGAAUGGGCUGUAAUAUUUUUAAACAGUAAUUACCUGGCCGGGAUCCGACAGAGGGGGAUUAAUGGAGGAACGCGGAGCAUCAGGUUCCAGAGAUGUGUGCUGGAAGGUACGAUGAGGGAGAGACGCGCUUCUCCGUCACACUCGGGAAAU